rnacentral:rRNA from 1 species
GAUGAACGCUGGCGGCGUGCCUAAUACAUGCAAGUCGAGCGAACAGACGAGGAGCUUGCUCCUCUGACGUUAGCGGCGGACGGGUGAGUAACACGUGGAUAACCUACCUAUAAGACUGGGAUAACUUCGGGAAACCGGAGCUAAUACCGGAUAAUAUAUUGAACCGCAUGGUUCAAUAGUGAAAGACGGUUUUGCUGUCACUUAUAGAUGGAUCCGCGCCGCAUUAGCUAGUUGGUAAGGUAACGGCUUACCAAGGCAACGAUGCGUAGCCGACCUGAGAGGGUGAUCGGCCACACUGGAGCUGAGACACGGUCCAGGCUCCUACGGGAGGCAGCAGUAGGGAAUCUUCCGCAGUGGGCGAAAGCCUGACGGAGCAACGCCGCGUGAGUGAUGAAGGUCUUCGGAUCGUAAAACUCUGUUAUUAGGGAAGAACAAAUGUGUCAGUAACUAUGCACGUCUUGACGGUACCUAAUCAGAAAGCCACGGCUAACUACGUG